GGCUGGUCCAAAGGCAGCUAGUUAUCUCAGCUGAUUGUUCACAGUCAGUCACGGAUUGAAGUCUUUGUUGAACUCUUUCCCUCCUUCUCAUUACUGUACUUGACCAGUCUAAA
ensembl:misc_RNA Y_RNA Y RNA